UACGAAGGGGGCUAGCGUUGCUCGGAAUCACUGGGCGUAAAGGGUGCGUAGGCGGGUCUUUAAGUCAGGGGUGAAAUCCUGGAGCUCAACUCCAGAACUGCCUUUGAUACUGAGGAUCUUGAGUUCGGGAGAGGUGAGUGGAACUGCGAGUGUAGAGGUGAAAUGCGUAGAGAUCCGGAGGAACACCGACGGCGCAGGCAGCGUCCUGGCCGCUUGCUGACACUGAGGCACGAAAGCUGGGGGAGCAAACAGG
rnacentral:rRNA from 1 species